ensembl:lncRNA
CGUCCACCUCCUUAAAUCUGGAGGUAAAUGCUUAACACAGAGCACAGCGCGAUUGCAAACGUUUGUUCAAAAUAUUUUAAUAAAGAUUCUUUCCGACAUAGAUACACAUACAAACGAUCGUACAUUGCUGUCAUAAUCUGAUUGACCUAUUUAAUAUAUAUCACUCUUUACACAUCCGUGACCUGCCAACAGAUCCAUCACGGCUCCCACUGCGCCAUCCAACCUGACAGUCCGAAUUUAUAUUAUCUGCGAGGAGUGGGAAAUAGCACGACUCGGGGUCGGGGAGGGAAGGAAAGAAAAGAAUCAUUACAAAAUCCGGCUUUACAACUGGCAGAGAGGCAGCACCCAGCCAUGCAAACUCAAGCGGAAGGCUCACUUUGGGGAAAUAGCUCCUUCUUGCUCUUCAUCUCCCCCCCCCCCCCCUCCACCCCCCCCCCCAAAAAAAAACCCCCACCCCACCUUCCCUCCCCACCCCCCCGAAAAAGAAAAGAACUCCACGCCGUCGGCAAACGAGCCCGAAGUAUUUUCGAGUGUUUCAACUUCAAGUAUAUCAUCCGCGGUCGGAAGGAAUGAUUUACGUACGCGUUCGAAGCGCCCCAAAAGACACCUCUGAAAGCACAGCGCCCUGCGAAGCGUUGGCGAUAUUCGCGUUAGCAGCUUUUGCUCUGCGCCCGGGUGAAGGGAACGGCCACCACCUGCCCUAACGCGAAGCCCUUUCCCAACUCAGUGGCCGAGCCACGAAGAAUACACCUUUCCUGUCUUUUUUUUUUUUUUUUUUCUUUUUUUUUUUUUUGGACUGAAGCGAUUUAUUAAAGCUCAAUUGAAAUACAAAGGGAUGAUGCAACUCAAAAAAAUCCAAGAUGACCUUUCAGAAACCUCAGCAGCUCGGGUACAGCGACAGUUCCGGUUAGACGGUGUUGGCAAAUAAACGGCUUUCAACACUUGGCACACAGUUUCAAGUUCAUCCAUAAACAGAAUUUUUAGAAGCAUUAGAAAGUAAACCGCACAGAAGGGCCCCUGACCUUAAAACACAUGAGAACUACCGGCGGGGCGGGAGGGUCACCCAAAGAAGAACAAAUAAAUACGUCCCGUCUGUACAGCGCUGCGGGUGGGGAGGACGAGGUGCGCGCAGAUCCCUCGUUCACAAACGCGGUGCUUUCAGCCGCACACGGAGGAGGGGUUCGGAUCGGGGAUUUUCUUUUUUUUUUCUUUUUUUUUCCCUUUUUAAAAAAUCUUCCUCUCUAUUUCUUUUCCUUUUCCUUUUCCCUUUCUUUUUUUUCCUUUUUCUUUUCUUUUUUUUUUUUUUUUAAACCACUCUCACCAAAACUUUGCGCAUUCGCACGGGAUCAAAGUUUCGAGACGCUAAAAAACACAGAGUCUUCCGUAAGCAAUGCUCCAGUCUCUUUGUUUCUGCGAGUCGCUUAAAUAAGAAGUUUACAUUUCAAGUUGGUUUGUUUCCUGGCUCAGAAUAAUUAUAAUAAUGCUGCUAAUAAUUAAAAACAAACAAACAAACAAACCAAAAACCAAACCAAAACCAACCUACGUUCUCGUGCCCUCUCUGAUUCGUCCCAUCCACCUCCGCUCCCCGUCACCGGGACCGCUCGGUGCUGGGCGGCGGCGGCGGGGCUCGGCGCGGCUUAAGGCUUCUCCGUGCACUGUUUGCAGAGACUGGAGGAGACGCUGUUGAAGAUGGCACAUUUCUCCGGGCAGGAGGUGGCGGGAGGCAGCCCGGCGCUGAACGGGUACCCCGCCGCCUGCUCGUAGGCGCCGAGGGCGGGGUGCAGCGCGGCCGCCGCCGCCGCCGCCGCCGCGGCGGAGCUGGGCAGGGAGGCGGCCGAGAUGGCCUGGCCCUGGUUGAGAUAAGCCACGAGGCGCCGCAUCUCCUCCAGGGCCUGCGCCUGCAUGAGGAUGUAGUUCUUGGCCAGCAGCAGCGUGGCGAUCUUGGAGAGCUUCCGCACCGAGGGGCUGUGCGCGUAGGGGAUGACGGCCCGCAGCUCGUCCAGCGCGUCGUUCAGGUCGUGCAUCCGCCGCCGCUCCCGCGCGUUGAUGUUGAGGCGCAGCGCCUUCUGCUCCUUGGACUUCUUGCUGCCGCCGUGCCCGUGCCCGUUGGAGCAGCCGCCCUCGGCAGCCUUCAGCCCCCCGCCCCCCCCCUCCUCCCGGGCCGCCGCCG